UACUUCCGCCAGAUUCUGAAGUGUUCCUCGCUGGAUACUUUUCUAUCUCAGGAGGCCACGGGAGAGGAUACGUCAUAAUCGAACACUUAGGAGAAAAGCGGCGCGGAUGCUGUCAAAUGGACAGAUGAGCACACGUGUGUUUAUCCGGUGGAGGAAUGAUGCCAUCAAAUGCUUUGAAGCUUUUGUGGAGCAGGACCUGCAAGAAAAGGUGACGGCGGGAUUUGUUAGAAAUAAAGAGGAAAGCCUGAAACAAAAUAUAAAGAUGUGAAUGUCCUCAGACUGGUGUGGGCACUGAGGAUGGAGAGCCACAGCAGAUCCUGGGAAUGGUUCAGUGUUAUGGACGAGAUCCUCCAUCACUCCUCCUUCCAAGUGACUCGAUCAAGGACACACUGGUGGAGACGCUGCAGAGAUCGAACCAGCAACCUUCUGCUGACCAGCUAAGUGGUUUAGACCACCACACCACAAAAGUAAUGAAGCUACAACAGAAAUUAGCAUGUAAUUGUAAAACUAUUAAAUGAAAUAUGGCAAGAAACAGAAUGCUGACAUGAAUUAAUUGUAAAAUGUUUUAAUCCGCUGAUGGAGAGCACAUGAAUGUUUGCAGCAGCCAUAUUGUCCCGCACAUCUUCUCCCACUCCUGCUUCAAGGUUGUGGGAUUCAGGGGUCCAUCAUCAUCAUCUUCCUCAUCCUCUGGGUCAACGAUGUCCCCAUUGAGAAGAGCAGCAGUGAGGGACAUGAUGAUGAAGGUGUUCAUCAGCUGCUUGAUCAGAAUAAAGCUGCAGAAUUGGCACAGCUGUGUUGAGAUGGCAGCAGGACUGUAAAUAUCUGAUUGUUAGA